rnacentral:tRNA from 1 species
GACUGGAUAGCCUAGCAGUCAAGGCAUCACAUAUGAGUUGUGUUCCACUUAAGGGUCCUUGGUUCAAAUCUGAGUCUAGUCA